GAAUAAUGUUUGUUUCAAAUAAAAAAUUUUGUUCCGGCUGACAAAUUUGCAAAAUUAAAUGCAUCAACAAUUACUCAUAUUGCAAUAGAAGUUUUAAAGUAAAUUUUAAAAGGCUAUCCGACUGCUCCGACCCAGCAACCAAAUUAUACGGCUCAGCAACAGGUCUACUCAGCCCAUCAACGCGGCUACUCAGCAGCCCCACUACCAGACCCUGUAACAGCCCCAGCAAACCCACCGACAGCAACAACAAAACCCCACCAGAGUUAAAUACCCAUGCUUGUUUUUUUAUAUGUAUGCAUAUGUUUGAAUUGUUUUUUUAGAUAUAAGUAUGAGUUGCUUUUUUAUGUUGUUUUGUAAAUAUAAUUUGUGCUCCUUUCUAUA